CGAUCUACAACUAAAACGAUAUGUAUAGAACAGGCUACAAACAAAGGUGUCAUCUAGGUGUAUCUAAAACCAGACUCAAAAACAGAAGGGGGAGGAGGAGGAGGGGGAGGAAGGGAAGGGAGGGUAAGUCCUAACUAGAGGCGACUGUGCAAUUACAAUUUUUGAACAAUGCUUCAUCCGUCUUUAAUUUUUGGCAGACCCGAUAACAUUUCAAUCCUUCGUUACAGAUUGGUUGACCUCUGAUGUAUUUAUCUUUCUGGCUUGGCGAAGGCACGGAUCCUCCUACUUUCAACUCCCCACUUUGUUGUUGCUGCUGCUGUUGCUGUUGCGGAUGCUGGUGAUGUAUUAUCUUUCUGUAUGUUUAUUGCCCUGUCACUGUCUUUUCCAAUUGAUGGUGUUCAUGUUACAUUGCCAUUCAUGAUGAUGAUUUAAUUGUUUCUCGAUUUGCAAUAAGGGGGAUAACUAGUGGCAAGUCACAAUCAUGCAUCCCUUCCAGAAGCAAGGAAGACUCACAGAAGCAUUUCAGCCUCCCAUGGCCACAAGUCUGGCUUCCACACUAGCAGCAAGUUUCGAACCCAUGACCUUUAGCUUUUAGUUUGAAGGAAUUCGAGCUCAAAUUUUGUGAGCACUACAUUGGAUUGUAUGGCACUUGGUUAGAUGUUAUUUUGGUCGACAAUGCAAAGAUUGGAGAAACAAAGAGGAGGGCACAUAUAACUGCCCCUUCCCAUUGACCUUCUCAAAUUUGGAUCACUUAAGCAUUGGAUUGUAUUCAUUCUUCAUGUUAACUUUGUUCUGCAGGCUUCCUUCCUAUGGAUAACUUAAGCAUUUAAGUUAUUCAUUUUUUUUAAAGAUAUUUAUGUUGGUUAUUUUAAUUAUUUUAAUAAUAUUUUAUUUUUAAAGAUUCAAAAUUUAUUAUUAUUUUAUUUUAUUUAUUUAUAAUAUUUAAGAGUUGUGUUUUAUUUGAAGUGUCAUAUUCCUUUUAAAAGGGUAUGAGAAGUUCUUUAAAUAAGAAACCUCAGACAGAAAACAUAAUACGCUAAACUUUUCUGUCUUCCUCAAUUCUCACAUCUCUCUCAGUCUAUGUACAUUUCUACUUCAUAAUUCUUGGGCAAUUGAUCACUACUUGGCAAUCUCGUUUGCCGUUGACGUGCAUAUCGGAUCAGCGUCUGCCGUUGACGUGCAUAUCGGAUCAGACAUCCUGUGAGGCUUUGGGUUGUAUCUUGAAGUUGUAGGCAUCGCCAUAACCUGCACGUAAUGAGGCGUCUACGGCUUUAGGGCAACGACAUCCGGCUCUCUUUGGUUCACAGGCCAGAUUUUCUUAUUCCUUAUUCCUAAUUUAAUUUUCAUAAGUUUGAUAAUGAUUAUACAUUUGAUUUGAUAUAUUUGAUCAUAUAAAUAAUUGGUAUAUUUCUGCAAUAUAUUUCACAAUUUAGCUAUUUAAGUCAUUCUUUUUUUGCCUGAACCAGAUUUCAAAUUCGAAUUCUGAUACCUAUUAUACAUGGCCCCAUAUGGUGUGAAGAGAAUGAGCAUAUAUGCAAGUCCUCCUCUUGUGGACCCGUAAAGGAUGGAAGCUUGUGCGAGUUGUUGCUAUAAAAUGGGAAGCCCUACUGCUUAGUCACCACCCAUCUUCUCCAAGAGAAAAGAAGAGAAAAAAAACAAGAGCCAGUAAGGCUCCCCACGCAUCAUUCUUUUUUUAGUAACAUUAAUAUUUGCAUUUGGUUGUCUUUACCAAGUAAUUCAGAGACAUGGGAUCGGAGAGCUCUCAGCCGUCUUCUCCUCCUCCUCCUCCUCCUCCUCCUCCUCAUCCUCCUCCUCCUCCUCCUCAACCACGUGGAGGUAAAGAACCAGCCAUAGACUAUCAGGUGGAUAUUAAUUCGACAUCGAUGCUCUACACAGUAAAAGGCUUCCCAUAGGCAAAUGGUGAAGUGGUUCAUACAUAGGACAUCUUAUAUAUCGCGGUCUGCUGUCAACUAAUAACAUCAAUAUUAUUAUUAUGUAUAACAAUUAAGCUCUUCCAUUAAAGUUCUAUAUAUGUACUUCCAGAAUCGAGAGCUUUGUUAUGUCUGUCCCCUAGCAGACCUGGUAUGUAUUUGUAAUUUUAGUGAAUUUUAAUUUUAUUGUGUGUAUAUAUAUAUUGAGCUCUUAAGAAGAUGAAAAAUCGAUAACUCACUAGAUUUACUGUAUUAUUGAAACAAGAAAUAACCGUCAACUUUAAAAUCUUGCAUGGAGAGAGAGUACCGGCUGUCGCGUGUGCGUUUCAGCGUUUACUCGUGUAUUUUGGUUUCCGAUCUUGCCCCUACCCAUCUCUCUCCAGUCUCCACCAAGCUUUUUGCCAUUUUCAAUUCAUUUUUUUUCUUCAUGCAAACUAAAGCCAAUAUUUACAGUAACUAUUUUACGCUUGCUCAGGAGUUGGUAAGUUGCACCGGGAAUAGAAUACAACUCGUUUGAUAAUUAUUUUAAAGCAAGGCUCAUUUAGUAAUUAUUUUGUUUUAGGUUUUAGUUAUAAACUUUUACUUUUCGUGCUUAAGAAAUAAAAUGUGUAUUGAUGAAAAAGGGUGGUGAGAGCAACGGUGGGAAGAGAUAUAUAUAAAAAAAAAGAAUGAAUAAAAACAAAUUCAAGAUUUUGUAAAGAACUUAAAAAUAGUUUUUUAUUUUUUGUUUCAGUUUUCAAUUUCUUCACCUUUUCUUAUAUAUUUUUUUUCUACGUCUACCAUCACCAUCCUUCCUCAAGUUUGGUGCCUACAAUCGAAGAUUUGCAGUCUUAUAAAUAUUCUUUUUCACGGCUAAUUCAUCUUUUACCCUUAAUAUUUACGAAAUUUAAAAUUAUCCUAUAUUUCUGCAAUUAAAAUUUAAAAAUUAUCCAAUACAAUCCAAUCUUGAGUACAAAAACGAUUAUGCGUUUCAUUGACAAAGUCCAUUUGACGUCAGGUGAAAUCAUGAUGCUAUAUUGUGUGGGGGUUUUUUAUCACUCUCAAUUGCAUCGUAAUUGAGUGGCAGGCAAUAUCGUUUUGGGAUUAUAAGGAAUAUAUGCUGCAAGGAGUUGACGUGACAAGCAAGCAAUUUAGUGAGUGGUGCUAAAUCAUCAAGAAUAAAAGUUAACAGACUUAAGUAUAGUUUGGCAUUGAGUUGCUUAAAAAAAAAGCUGCUUAUUUUCAAAGUUUUUACGUUGAAGGUGUUUGGUAAACUAUAAAAAAAAAAUUAUUUUAGAAGUUGUUGUGAGAAUAAGCUAAAAUCUUCAAAAAGGCUGAAGCAGCUAAAUGCUGCAUUGGAAAACUGAUUUUUUUUCAAAGCGCGUGGAGCUACAGUGCUUUUAAAGUUCAAUAACAUCCUCAAACCAGAAAUGGUGCUCCUUUGCCGAUCUCCACAAAACCCAGAAACCCACCAGAAACAACUUUGCUGAUCUGCACAAGAAAUGGAAACACACCCAGAAACCCACCAGACUACCAUAGCCAAAACCAGAAACGAUUUUCCUUUGCCGAUCUGUGUGCUAAACUAGCCUUAACUUUCUAGGACAUUGGAUACAAACAUCAAAACCCAAAAGCCAAAAAUUGAAUAAAUAUCAGCUUUAAGAUUUCACCGCCAUCAAUUCUAUAAUUUGAUUAAACACAAUUCCAGAAAAAUAAACAAUCUGAGCCACUAAAAGCUUGAAACUUUAUCGAUUUUGGAAAGUCGAAAAGAAAUCGUGGGCAAUUUGGGUUAAAAACUAAAUACCUCUGGUUCUCCGAAGGUCCGGACUGAAACUAUGGCCAUUGGGCGUCGGUGAAGAGAGACGGAGAAAGGGAGGGACUACAGAGAGGAGUGUUUUCUGUUGUCGAGGAUUACAGACAGGAAUUAGGAAGGAAGGUGGUGGGAGGAAGAAGGGUUUAGAGUUAAAAUGGGUUUUGAUGCCACUUAACAAAGGUGUUUUCUUAAUUAUUGAUUUAUUAAAUAAUAAACUAAAUUUAAAAAUCUGAUUAAUUCAAAUGAUAUGGCUGUCCACAUCAUAUGCCACCUAAGGUGGUAUAGAAAUGUGGUAUAAAAACAUGGUAUGAAUAGCAUUACUCAAAAAAAAUAGGAGACUUCUAGAGAGACUAUUAAUAAAUAAAAGACAUGGAUUAUUAAUAAAUGAAGAUGGAUAAAAGGAAGAUAGGGCUGGUUUAUUAUUUUACAUUUAACAUUAUACUCAUUUUAUAGUUUUUUUGUCAUUUCACACAGUCACAACUGUUUUAUAUAAAAGUUUACCAAACACUACCAUACUGCUUUUUUUUUUCCAAAAGAACUUUUACAAAAAAAAAUUUACCAAACACUCUGCUACUUUAUUUCACAGCAGCUUAUUCUCAUAGCACAGCAGAAACAACUUAUUCUCAUAACACAGCAGAAACAGCUUAUUAUCAUAGCACAACAGAACAGUUGUUUUUCAAAGCACAGCAGAAACAAUUUUUUUUAAAGCACAGCAAUAUCAAACCAGCCCUGAGAGACUAAUCCCAAAAACACAUUUAAUUUUCAGAUAACAAAUUUUCAUAAUCUAAAUCCACCAUAAUUACCAGUAACAAAACACAAAUCACAAGGUGCUACAACCAUACGGUACUCGACAGAAAAUUAACCCCAUCAUUCGAUCUACAACUAAAACGAUAUGUACAGAACAGGCUACAAACAAAGGUGUCAUCUAGGUGUAUCUAACCAGACUCAAAAACAGAAGGGGGAGGAGGAGGAGGGGGAGGAAGGGAAGGGAGGGUAAGUACCCUAACUGGAGGCGGCUGUGCAACUACAAUUAUUGAACAAUGCCUCACAUCCGUCUUUAAUUUUUGGCAGACCCGAUAACAUUUCAAUCCUUCGUUACAGAUUGGUUGACCUCUGAUGUAUUAUCUUUCUUGUUAGAUGCAAUUAGCCAAGAUCAAGAUUUAAGCUACAUAAAACACAAUCAAGAAAGCAUAAAAUCUUUUGAAUAUGAACUGAUGUAUUCACACUAACAUGAUGAACCUCCAUUCGAAUAUGCCAUUGCAGCAGCUGUCCAAUUCUGUAUGCUGCAACUCUUCUCCUCUCUGGUAGAACUCUUAAUGCUCUAACUAAGAAUAGGACUUAGUUCUUUUCUGAGCGUGUCUAUGAGAGCAGAGAUCACAGCAUAUAUAUAAAUACAUAUACUUCUCCUAAACCAAUGAGGAUUUCCUAUUACAAUCCGAUUAGGAAACAACUCAUGUUUCCCAGUGUAUGUUGGUUCUUCUCCAUGACAGAUUCCUCUAUCAACAAGAACUCACAUUCAUCUUCCUAUAAGGCUUUCUUAUACUAAUUGGACCAAACAACUGACACUUGUUCACCGUAUACUCAUGUUCAUAUCUUUACAUUCUCCCACUUGAACAUGAGACAUGAACAAGCACAGUCUUUACCAAUUAUAAGAAGUGAUCACACAGCCUUAUUCAAGAUUUUAUCAUCAUGACCAACAUCCCAUUGCAUUUCAAAAUACAGAAACCAAGAAUCUCAGAUUACUAUCAAAACAAUCAUCGAUUCAAGACUCACAUGUAUCCAAUCUGCAAUUAUGACACAUGAUUAACAACACUAAUUCAGAACAUGCUCCCACUUUUCAAAAGAUCUCAAUCUAUAUCAAUCUUCAAUGAAAAACAGCAUUUCAUUAACUGAAUAAAAUUCAUGAAACAUAUAAACUUUUAAAACAAACAAAUUGUCCUUGCAAAGUACCAUAUGAAUCCAACAAGUCUAUUAUCAAAACCACAAUACUCCAAAACGGAAACUUUAGGUUUCGAAGCAAAGACUCUUAUUAAAACAUAAAACAAACUAACUAAACAUAACUAAGUAAGCUAGCUCAGACUAAAAUGUAAACAAGGUCCCAAAUUGAAUUACUCACAUAGCAGCAACCUUCAAACUUUCUGAAACAGAUCAAUUACUCCCACUGAUCUAGAGUUUCUAACACUCCCAUCCGAGAUACAUGUUUCUGAAACUCUCCAAUAGGCAGUGCUUUAGUCAGAGGAUCUGCCACCAUCAAAACAGUGCUGAUGUGCUGAACUUCAAUCAUCCCCUUCUUCACUUCCUCUCUUACUUUAAGAAAUUUUACAUCCAUUAACCUUGAGGCAGAAGUUCUUCUAUUAUUCUUGGCAAAGAACACAGCAGAAUUGUUAUCACAAAACAUCCUUACUGGUUUCUGAAUCGAUUUUACAAUUUUUAAAUCAGUCAGAAAAUUCUUCAACCACACAGCUUGUUUCAUCCCUUCAAAACAAGCUACGAACUCAGCCUCCAUAGUGGAUGUGGCUAUCACGGUUUGCUUAGCACUCUUCCAAGAAACUGCACCACCAUUUAACAUGAAGAUAUAGCCACCGGUCGAUUUUCUAUCAUCUAUAUCACCAGCCAAAUCAGAGUCAGUAUAUCCUUCAAGUUCCAAAGAUUCGCCAUUUCCAUAAACCAACAUGAAAUUCUUGGUUCUUUGUAAAUAUCUUAGAACCUUUUUGGCAGAUAUCCAAUGUGCUUCACCUGGAUUUGAUUGAAACCUUCCCAACAUUCCAGUUAUAAAAGCAAGGUCAGGCCGUGUACAUAUAGUUGCAUACAUGAGACUUCCCACCAGAGAAGCAUAAGGCUUACCCUGCAUUUUCUCUGUCUCCAAGUCAGUCCUCGGACACUGACUCUUGGAGAACUUAUCCCCUUUAUUAACUGGAACUUGUCCACAACUACAAUUCUCCAUAUUGAACCGGUGUAAUACUCUAUCAAUGUAACCCUUUUACGAUAAGCCAAGUAGUCGUUUCUGUCUAUUGCGUACAAUCUCAAUCCCCAACACAUAGUGUGCCUCUCCUAGAUCCUUCAUGUCAAAACUUUCACUGAGCAUCCUUUUAGUUCUUUGUAAUAACUGUGGACAAGAACUUGCUAGAAGAAUGUCGUCAACGUAAAGUACCAAAAAGUCCUAGUAGGAUGUCAUGUAGCUGAUCCAUUUCUUCAAAAAUGAAAUUUUCCCGCGACAGAUCUGUAACAUCUUGAUCCUCUAAGAAUACUGCAUUAUGUGUUUCUUGGAUCCGAGUGUGAUGUUGAGGAAUAUAGAAUCUGUAGCCCUUUGACUUUUCAGGAUACCCAAUGAAGUAACAAGAUUGAGUCCUUGAAUCUAAUUUUCUUUCAUUAGGAUUAUAGAACCUUGCUUCUGAUUUGCAACCCCAAACGUGAAAGUAUUCAAAAUUAGGUGUUCUGCCAUGCCAUAACUCAAAAGGUGUUGAGAUAACAGAUUUGCUCGGUACUCUGUUCAAAAUAUGAUUUGCUGUCUUCAAGGCUUCUCCCCACAAGAAACCAGGCAAUUUGGAUCUUGACAUCAUACUUCUCACCAUACCUAUAAGAGUUCGAUUCCUUCGUUCCGAGACUCCAUUUUGUUGAGGUGUCCCCGGUGUUGUAUACUGAGCUACAAUGCCGUUUUGCUCUAAAUAUAGUGCAAAUGGUCCCUUUUGCUGUCCUGAUUCAGUGUACCUGCCAAAGUAUUCUCCUCCCCUAUCCGAUCUAACAAUUUUAAUAACUUUACCUAACUGUUUUUCAACCUCAGUUUUGUAAACAAUAAAGCAUUUAAGGGCAUCAGAUUUUUCUUUAAUCAGAAAAGUAUAUCCCAGUCUAGAGAAGUCAUCAAUAAAGUUAACAAAAUACUUGUUUCCACAUAUUGUUUUGACUGGAAAAGGACCACAGAUGUCAGUGUGUAUGAUUUCAAGUAACCCUUUGCUUCUUUUGGCAUCUAGUUUUCUAAAGUUGGUCAUUUUUCCUUUCAAACAAUCAACACAUUCUGUCACAGUGGCAGAAUCUAGUUUGGGAAUUAGUUCGGCUUUGCAAAGUUGAAGAAUCCUUUCUUUAGAGAUGUGCCCUAACCUCUUAUGCCAAAGAAUAUAAGAUGAAUCAUGUUCUAACAUUCUUUUUGAAUUGACAUUAAAAACGGACUGAUCAACAAACUCAACUAUACACUCUAGUCUCCAGAGAUUUUCAGACAAGAGGGCAAUGCCCAAAAUUUUAUGAAAACUGUUUUUCUUAAAAAUUUUCAAACAUACAUCAUCAGCAAAGAAUGCAUAACCAUCUUUUAUUAUUUUAGAAGCAGAGAGCAAGUUUCUUCUCAUUUUAGGCACAUAGAGCACAUCUUUUAGUUGUAACACAAAACCAGAAUUUAGUUUUAAGUUUACUACUCCAAUGGAAUGCACUGCAACCUUAGUCCCUUCCCCCACAUAGACAUGAUACAUAGUAUUUCCAAUCUCCUUUUGUUUUUGAAAACCUUUCAAAGAAUUAGUUAUGUGAACCGAGCAUCCAGUGUCAAACCACCAAGAAUCAACAGGUACUUCACAAAGAUUUGACUCAACACAGACAAGUACUUGUUCCUUUUCUUUGCUCUUCACAAAAUCUUUAAAAAUUUCACAAUCAACUUUUAAAUGCCCUUUAGUCUUGCACCAAAAACACUUAAGUUUAGACACAUCUUUAGGUUUAGCUUUAAAUUUGAUAGAUUUUCUAGGGGAGUCAUUUACUUUAGCAGCUAUAUUGAAUUUGUUAGAAUUCUUAGUGAAUUUAGAAUUCUUACCAGGACCUGAAGAGCUGCCUUUAUUGAAUGCUCUCUUCUCUCGUCCAGGUUGUACAUAAUUUGCUUCUUCGAUCUCCUUGCCUUUCUCUUGCUUUUGCCGAGUUUCCUCUUGCACACAUUGUGCAAUCAAUUCAUCUAUGCCCCAGUUCUUGUCCUGAGUGUUGUAAGAGACUUUUAACUGACUAUACUUGGUAGGGAGGGCUUGAAAAAUCAUGAACACAAGCUGCUUCUCUCCAAUGUUUAUUUCCAUGGAGUUUAGCUUCUCGGCAGCAUCUGACAUUUUCAUUAUAUGAUCCCUUAUUGAACCAGUAUCUUCAAUCUUGUAUUGAGUCAACACAGACAUAUACUGGCUUACUUCUGCCUUCUCGGACUCCUUGAAUUUCUUUUCGAUUGCAGCCAAAUAAUCCACAGCAAGCUCUGGUUUCUUAAUUCCUCCCCUGAUAGUGUCAGUCAUUCCAGCUUCUAUGAUGGAAAGUGCUACCUUAUUAGCUCUUGACCACCUCUCAAAAUCUGACUUCUCAGCUCUGGUGCUUUGAUCACUAAUUACAGGCUUGGGAUUUUCAAUUGCUAUAUCAAACUCAUUUAGAGUCAAUAGCAAGUUGAUAUCCCUCCUCCACUUCUUGUAAUUGCUACCACCAGUAAGGAUCGGAAUAUUUGCUAAAUUUAAGGUCUUCAUUGAUAUUGCAGACAUCGAUGAACCUGAAAUCACCAUAUGAACAUUCAAAGUUCUGAUUUCGUUUCACAGUCUAUUGCACAUCAAAGCUUUAUAACCAAUAUCCAUAUAUACAAUCUUAACAACAACCAGUUGAUAGGCGCAUAUAGGAUUAUUGAUUUCAGAAUAGUUCAUGAACUGAUCACGGUAUAUCAGAAUCAACCAUCACACUGAUUUGUUCUAUACAUCUCAGUUUAUGAUCUUAAUAGUGACAAUAAAUUUGCAUAAAUUUAACCAGAUACAAUCAUUUUAAGAAACUAAAUCAUAUGCUAAGAAUGACUGCUCUCAUGUUCAUAAAAAAUCAUUAUACAAAUCUCUAUGCAAGAUUCAUGAUAUUCAUUUUUCUAAUCUGAGUUUUGAAGAUCACAUACCUUUUAAAGAGACAACCAUCAAUACCUAGCAGCGGAAACAAUUUUGGACAGGUAUUGAACACUCAAUAACAAGAUUUGGAUUACUCGGAUUGCAAGUGAACGGGUCAAAAUAAGAGGGACGAGUUAAAGUCCUCUUUUGCAGAAGAACAAAACCCAGAAAAACCCCAAAAGAAAAACCGCGCCGAUUUCGAAUAUCAACAGUCAUAUUAAUCUGACCUGAUUUUAUCAAAAACGCACCGUUUAGGAAAAAUUGUUUUGAUAUUUAGAACCGGUUUCGAAACCCGAUAAUGGCGAUUUUCAUUGACCCGUGUUUGAUUGAUUUUAAGAACUUAAAUCUAAGCUCUGAUACCACAUGUUAGAUGCAAUUAGCCAAGAUCAAGAUUUAAGCUACAUAAAACACAAUCAAGAAAGCAUAAAAUCUUUUGAAUAUGAACUGAUGUAUUCACACUAACCUGAUGAACCUCCAUUCGAAUAUGCCAUUGCAGCAGCUGUCCAAUUCUGUAUGCUGCAACUCUUCUCCUCUCUGGUAGAACUCUUAAUGCUCUAACUAAGAAUAGGACUUAGUUCUUUUCUGAGCGUGUCUAUGAGAGCAGAGAUCACAGCAUAUAUAUAAAUACAUAUACUUCUCCUAAACCAAUGAGGAUUUCCUAUUACAAUCCGAUUAGGAAACAACUCAUGUUUCCCAGUGUAUGUUGGUUCUUCUCCAUGACAGAUUCCUCUAUCAACAAGAACUCACAUUCAUCUUCCUAUAAGGCUUUCUUAUACUAAUUGGACCAAACAACUGACACUUGUUCACCGUAUACUCAUGUUCAUAUCUUUACAUUUCUGGCUUGGCGGAGGCACGGAUUCUCCUAUUUUCAACUCCCCACUUUGUUGUUGCUGCUGCUGUUGCUGUUGCUGAUGAUGCUGCUGCAUCUGUUGCUGCUGGAGUUGAUGGAGCUGAUGCUGCUGAAACUGGUGCUGCUGCUUCUGAGAAUGAAUCUGGAGCUGUUGAAACUGCUGUGCAGUUAGAAGAGUGUGCAUUGCUUGAUUGUUUGGAUAGAACUGCUGCUGACCCGCCGCGCCAAAAGAAGCGUAGUUCAUCAUAGGUCCACCAUUUGGCAUAGCUUGGCCAGUCAUAACUUUCAGAUGCUGAAUUUCUUCUUUCAGUGCAUUGUUCAAUGCUACGAGACAAACAAAAACAAUAAUGUUUCGGCACAAUUUCAUUCACAUAAGGAUCAAGAACCAGAAGUUACACGGAAUCCGAUCAGCAAGAAAACCUAAAUUAUAGUAUUGUACUGAUACUACACAAACAAGAUGCUACAGUCUAAUUUGAGCAAAACUUCUACAUCGGAUGCUAACCAAUACAAUCCAAUCUUGGGCGCAAAAAACGAUUAUGCGUUUCUUUGACAAAGUCCAUUUGACGUCAGGUGAAAUCAUGAUGCUAUAUUGUGUGGGGGUUUUGAUCACUCUCGAUUGCAUCGUAAUUGAGUGGAAGGCAAUAUCGUUUCGGGAUUAUAAGGAAUAUAUGCUGCACGGAGUUGACGUGACCAGCAAACAAUUUAGUGAGUGGUGCUAAAUCAUCAAGAAUAAAAGUUGACAGACGAAGUACGGUUUGGCAUUGAGGUGCUUAAAAAACAAAAGGAAAAAUAAUGAAAAUGUCUUGAAAACUUUGAGUUUUAACGAUAAGGACAAAAUAAAGGGUAAAGUGAAUAAUACUAGGUUUGACUUUUUAGUGUAAAAAUGUGGUUUUUCGUUAAAGUGAACAGUACUGCAGGCUUUUCGUUAAAACUCCCUAAAAAAAAGCUGCUUAUUUUCAAAGUUUUUAUGUUGAAGGUGUUUGGUAAACUAAAUAAAAAGGGAUUAUUUUUGGACAAUGCUAUGAGAAUAAGCUGAAAUCAUCAGAAAAGCUGAAGCAGCUAAAUGCUGCUUUGGAAAACUGGCUUUUUUUUCAAAGCACGCAGAGCUACGGUGCUCCUUUAAUGAAACUUUCUAAAGUCCAAUAACACCCUCAAACCAGAAAUGGUGCUCCUUUGCCGGUCUCCACAAAACCUAGAAACCCACUAGAAACGACUUUGCCGAUCUGCACAAGAAAUGGAAACACAAAAACCCAAAAACCCACCAGACUACCACAGCCAAAACCAGAAACGGUUUUCCUUUGCCGAUCCGCGCGCUAAACUAGCCUUAACUUUCUAAGACAUUGGAUACAAACAUCAAAACCCAAAAGCCAAAAAUUGAAUAAAUAUCAGCUUUAAGAUUUCACCGCCAUCAAUUCUAUAAUUUGAUUAAACACAAUUCCAGAAAAAUAAACAAUUUGAGCCACUACAAGCCUGAAACUUUAUCGAUUUUGGAAAAGUCGAAAAGAAAUCAUGGGCAAUUUGGGUUAAAAGCUAAAUACCUCUGGUUCUCCGAAGGUCCGGACUGAAACUAUGGCCACUGGGCGCCGGCGAAGAGAGACGGAGAAAGGGAGGGACUACAGAGAGGAGUGUUUUCUGUUGUCGAGGAUUACAGACAGGAAUUAGGAAGGAAGGUGAGUGGGAGGAAGAAGGGUUUAGAGUUAAAAUGGAUUUUGAUGCCACUUAACAAAUGAAGAUAGAUAAAAGAAAAAUAGGAGACUUGUAGAGAGACUAUUAAUAAAUAAAAGACAUGGAUUAUUAAUAAAUGAAGAUGGAUAAAAGAAAGAUAGAGUUGGUUUAUUAUUUUACAUUUAACAUUAUACUCAUUUUAUAUAUUUUUUUGUCAUUUCACACAAUCACAGCUCUUUUAUAUAAAAGUUUACCAAACACUAUCAUAUUGCUUGUUUUCUUUUCCAAAAGAACUUUUACAAAAAAAAUUUAUCAAACAUUCUGCUGUUUUAUUUCACAGCAGCUUAUUCUCAUAGCACAGCAGAAGUAGCUUAUUCUCAUAGCACAGCAGAAACAGUUUUUUCUCAUAGCAAAGCAGAAGAACCUUUUUUCAAAGCAGAGUAAUACCAAACCAGCCCUGAGACUAAUCCCAAAAACACAUUUAAUUUUCAGAUAACAAAUCUUCAUAAUCUAAAUCCACCAUAAUUACCAGGAACAAAACGCAAAUCACAAGGUGCUACAACCAUACGGUACUCGACCGAAAAUUAACCCCAUCAUUCGAUCUACAACUAAAACGAUAUUUACAGAACAGGCUACAAACAAAGGUGUCAUCUAGGUGUAUCUAACCAGACUAAAAAACAGAAGGGGGAGGAGGAGGAGGAGGAGAAGGGGGAGGAAGGGAAGGGAGGGUAAGUACCCUAACUGGAGGCGGCUGUGCAACUACAAUUUUUGAACAAAGCCUCAUCCGUCAUUAAUUUUUGGCAGACCCGAUAACAUUUCAAUCCUUCGUUACAGAUUGGUUGACCUCUGAUGUAUUAUCUUUCUGGCUUGGCGAAGGCACGGAUCCUCCUAUUUUCAACUCCCCACUUUGUUGUUGCUGCUGCUGUUGCU
rnacentral:lncRNA from 1 species